UACGAAGGGGGCUAGCGUUGCUCGGAAUCACUGGGCGUAAAGGGUGCGUAGGCGGGUCUUUAAGUCAGGGGUGAAAUCCUGGAGCUCAACUCCAGAACUGCCCUUGAUACUGAGGAUCUUGAGUUCGGGAGAGGUGAGUGGAACUGCGAUUGUAGAGGUGAAAUUCGUAGAUAUUCGCAAGAACACCAGUGGCGAAGGCGGCUCACUGGCCCGAUACUGACGCUGAGGCACGAAAGCGUGGGGAGCAAACAGG
rnacentral:rRNA from 1 species